rnacentral:rRNA from 1 species
GACGAACGCUGGCGGCGUGCUUAACACAUGCAAGUCGAACGAGCAUUGGAAGCUUGCUUCUAAUGUUAGUGGCGGACGGGUGGGUAACGCGUGAGCAAUCUGCCUUCAACAGGGGAAUACCUCAAAGAAAUUUGAGUUAAUACCGCAUAACAUCCUUAAGGGGCAUCCCUUUUGGAUCAAAGAUUUUAUCGGUUGAAGAUGAGCUCGCGUCCCAUUAGAUAGUUGGUGAGGUAACGGCCCACCAAGUCAACGAUGGGUAGCCGACCUGAGAGGGUGAUCGGCCACAUUGGAACUGAGACACGGUCCAGACUCCUACGGGAGGCAGCAGUGGGGAAUAUUGCACAAUGGAGGAAACUCUGAUGCAGCAACGCCGCGUGAGUGAUGAAGGUCUUCGGAUUGUAAAGCUCUGUCUUCUGGGACGAUAAUGACGGUACCAGAGGAGGAAGCCACGGCUAACUACGUGCCAGCCGCCGCAGUAAAAC